AUUGAACGCUAGCGGGAUGCAUUACACAUGCAAGUCGAACGAGUGGCGGACGGGUGAGUAAUAUAUCGGAACGUGCCCAGUAGCGGGGGAGAACUACUCGAAAGAGUGGCUAAUACAGCAAAAUAUUGGAUCGGCCGAUAUCGGAUUAGAUAUUUGGUGGGGUAAAGGCUCACCUAGGCAACGAUCCGGAGCUGGUUUGAGAGGACGACCAGCCACACUGGGACUGAGACACGGCCCAGACUCCUACGGGAGGCAGCAGUGGUGAAUUUUGGACAAUGGGUGAAACCCUGAUCCAGCCAUCCCGCGUGUAUGAGAAGGCCUUCGGGUUGUAAAGUACUUUUGGCAGAGAAGCGGUAUCUGCAGAAUAAGCACCGGCUAACUACGUGCCAGCAGCCGCGGUAAUUC
rnacentral:rRNA from 1 species